GCGAUGACGCAGGCCCCGACGCCCCCAUUUAAGCCUCUCUGUGGGCGCUCCGAACUCGAACACUGGGAGAGCUCGACGCUUCGCGCCGGGUCGGGACUCGGAUCGGCGCGGCUGGCUCAGCGCCGCUUCCCUGGCCCGUCCGUCCCGCAUCGGACGGUUCGGGUGGCCUCGCCUCGUCGCCCUCGGCGAUGCCCUCGCCGCCCAGCUUCGAGAGCCGCAAUACCGGCCUCGCGAGUGGAUGGAGAGUCGUGGGACCCACUCAAGGC
rnacentral:lncRNA from 1 species